GAAUUUUGGACAAUGGGCGCAAGCCUGAUCCAGCCAUGCCGCGUGAGUGAAGAAGGCCUUCGGGUUGUAAAGCUCUUUCGGCGGGGACGAAACGGUCCGUGCUAACACCACGGACUAAUGACGGUACUCGCAGAAGAAGCACCGGCUAACCCCGUGCCAGCCGCCGCGGUAAUACGGAGGGUGCGAGCGUUAAUCGGAAUUACUGGGCGUAAAGCGCGCGUAGGCGGCGUGAUAAGCCGGUUGUGAAAGCCCCGGGCUCAACCUGGGAACGGCAUCCGGAACUGUCAGGCUAGAGUGCAGGAGAGGAAGGUAGAAUUCCCGGUGUAGCGGUGAAAUGCGUAGAGAUCGGGAGGAAUACCAGUGGCGAAGGCGGCCUUCUGGACUGACACUGACGCUGAGGUGCGAAAGCGUGGGUAGCAAACAGG
rnacentral:rRNA from 1 species